rnacentral:rRNA from 1 species
UGAAGUUAAAGGCAUNGGCUCAACCAAUGUAUGCUUUGGAAACUGUUAGACUUGAGUGCAGAAGGGGAGAGUGGAAUUCCAUGUGUAGCGGUGAAAUGCGUAGAUAUAUGGAGGAACACCGGUGGCGAAAGCGGCUCUCUGGUCUGUCACUGACGCUGAGGCUCGAAAGCGUGGGUAGCGAACAGGAUUAGAUACCCUGGUAGUCCACGCCGUAAACGCUGAGUGCUAGGUGUUAGGUCCUUUCCGGGACUUAGUGCCGACGCUAACGCAUUAAGCACUCCGCCUGGGGAGUACGACCGCAAGGUUGAAACUCAAAGGAAUUGACGGGGGCCCGCACAAGCGGUGGAGCAUGUGGUUUAAUUCGAAGCAACGCGAAGAACCUUACCAGGUCUUGACAUCCCGAUGCCCGCUCUAGAGAUAGAGUUUUUCUUCGGAACAUCGGAGACAGGUGGUGCAUGGUUGUCGUCAGCUCGUGUCGUGAGAUGUUGGGUUAAGUCCCGCAACGAGCGCAACCCUUAUUGUUAGUUGCCAUCAUUAAGUUGGGCACUCUAGCGAGACUGCCGGUAAUAAACCGGAGGAAGGUGGGGAUGACGUCAAAUCAUCAUGCCCCUUAUGACCUGGGCUACACACGUGCUACAAUGGUUGGUACAACGAGUCGCAAGCCGGUGACGGCAAGCUAAUCUCUGAAAGCCAAUCUCAGUUCGGAUUGUAGGCUGCAACUCGCCUACAUGAAGUCGGAAUCGCUAGUAAUCGCGGAUCAGCACGCCGCGGUGAAUACGUUCCCGGGCCUUGUACACACCGCCCGUCACACCACGAGAGUUUGUAACACCCAAAGUCGGUGAGG